rnacentral:lncRNA from 1 species
CGUCAAGAGCAAGGAAGGGAGAGCAAAGACGUCGACCCUGGGUUGGGCAUGUUGGCUUGCUAAGGAUUGCUGCUGCCGGCUCCUUGUCUUAUGAUGUUCAAGUCAGGUUUAUCCACAGCUGAACACUCAGUGAGGAUUAUUCAGCCUUCACUUUGUGCCAUGUGGUGCAACACAGGAAAUUAGCAGUGUGAUCAAGAGUCUCACUUGUGAGGGGUUCCUGCUGUGGCCCAGUGGGUUAAGGAUCCCAAGUUGCCGCCGCUUCGGUAUAGGUCACAGCUGCAGCUCAAAUUCAGUCCCUGGACUGGGCACGUCCAUAUGCCACAGGUGUGGUCAUAAAAAGGGGGGGGGGGAUGUGACUCUCUUAUGAGAUGGAGAAACUGACUCCUAGAGAAGUCACUUACUCUAUGGUGGUCUCACAACCCAUGUGUGAGGGACCUGGGCCUUGGCUCCAGCUCUUCCUGAGUCCACCUUUUAUCAUUCCUCUUUCUGUGGCUGAUUUCUAGUGUCAUGCUGUUGUGGUCUGAGUCCUUUUGAAUCACAUAUUCUCUGCAUAUGUCAUGGCCUUUGGAAGAGGAUCCCUUGUAAGUUUUUUUUUAAUACCCCUAAAUGUGGAAUCUGUAACAUUUCUUACUUUAAACUCCUCUACUGGGUACAAGUUCUUUGGCUAUUGCCUAGCACAUGCCAUCUCUCUGAUGAGGCCUGAACAUACUUUGAUUUUGAAUGCAUAUUGAUGUAUAUAUUAUGGUGAGUUCAUCUGACUUUAUAACAUGUAGCUUUAACUUCUCUAUUUUUUCCUUCUUUAGUUGAUUCAUCCACCAACUAUCUGCAUACAUAGGGAAAAAAUACUUUCGUCUCUUUUCUUUCAUUUAGGAAAAUUGAAAGACACUAGAUUUUCAAACUCCCACCCAAAUAAAGUAGGCAGGUUCCUACAUUCUGUAAAAAGUACAGCAUCUGGUGAAUGGAGCAUGUUAGAAUUUCCAUUAAGAAUUCUCCCAGGCUCUAGUUUUCUGGAGCCGUGUGGUAUUCUCCCAGUGAACCCGGAAGUAUGUUUUUUUAAGAAUUUCUUGGAGUUCCCAUUGUGCUGCAACAGAAACAAAUCCAACUAGGAGCCAUGAAGUUGCGGGUUUGAUCCCUGGCCUCAGUGGGUCAAGGAUCUGGCAUUGCUGUGAGCUGUGGUGUAGGUCGUAGACGCAGCUUGGAUCUUGUGGCUGUGGUGUAGGCGGGCAGUUGUAGCUCCGAUUUGACCCCUAGCCUGGGAACCUACAUAUGCACUUGCGGCACUAGAAAGCAAAAAAAAAAAAAAAAAAAAAAAGGAAUUCCUCUUUAUUUGAGGCCAGCUGCAUCCUUGCCCUUUCUCUGAGUGGCUCUGGGCCAUCAGUGCAGUAGUGGUAGCUCUGGGAGGAGAGCCACUGCUUCAGGGGCCCGAGCAUUGGGGCCAUCGUCAUGUGUCCAGUGUUGUGGGCUCUUAUCGUUGUCCUCACCCCAAGGGCCUUUGAGGAUGGGGGCCACAGUUCUCCCUCUGAUUCUCCCAUCACAGCUGCAUAAUUGGUUGUAAAACUUUCACUUUUAGAUAAAAACUUAUUUUGGCAACCAUGCAUCCUCUCUGUAAUUCAUUUAGAAACGGCAGCAUUUCUAUUAGUGGAAAAGCAAGCUCAAGCAUCACAUAGCCUGGCUAAUAUGUGUUGAUAAUUGCAUAUUGUUUGAUAACUAUAAACUGGGAGGUUGCACUAAUAAAAGGUAUUAAUUUCCAAGACAGCCAGCAAGGGGACUGGAGAUAGAUGGCUUGCAAAUUCACCCCUGCCAUUUUGCCUUGUUUGGCUAUGUUUAAGUUAGCGGGGAUUGAUCUGAGUGCUAAUAAUGCAGCGGAAAAAAUUUUUUGUACUAAAUAGGGUGUUUGGAGAUGGAAAACUUUGUGUCAGUAUGGGGACAUAGUGACUGCUGAUGGGGCAGAUGGUUUUUCAGAUAAUUGCUCAGGACUCAGAAUGCCAUGGCAAGGGUUUCUCAGAAGUUUGCAGCUCAGCACAAGCCUUGUAUGGUCAAAAAGGAGUCUGUCUGCCUUUGCGUCCAUAUUUCACAUAAUCUGAUAGUCAAGGCGCGCACUUGUAGAGAGAGAGGAGGAAGAGAAAUUGAAAGACGUGGGCUUGAGACUGGCUCUUUCCCAAAACCGAAAGCCCUGGGCCACAGGUGUUCCAUGCACUGAACCUCAGUUCUCCCACAUUUGAGGAAUGUAGCUGUUUUGUGAGGGCCCCUAUGGGCAAUACUGGAGAUCACGUAGAUAGGGGAAACCACGCCUAAAGAAAAAAAAAAAAAAGAGAGAUUCCCAUUGUGGCAGAGAAUCCACCUAGUAACCAUGAGGUUUCAGGUUUGAUCCUCGGCCUUGCUCAGUGGGUUAAGGAUCUGGCGUUGCCGUGAGCUGUGGUGUAGGUUGCAGACGCAGCUCGGAUCUCAUGUUGCUGGCGUAGGCCAGCAGCUACAGCUCUGAUUGGACCCCUAGUCUGGGAACCUCCAUAUGCAGCAGGUGUGGCCCUAAAAAGCAAAAAAUAAAAUAAAAUAAAAAAACUUUCUAAGUGUGAGGAAACUGGAUACCUCCCCUUAAUUUACAGAGGAGACGAAUGGGCCUAGGAUGCAUCACUGUAAGUCUAUUCUUUAUAUUCUAGUCUGUUUCAAAUCACCACCCCUGGGUAGCACUUGUAGUUUCUCUCUUUAAGAAAAAAGAAAAAUGAAAAAAUCAGUUUUUGACCUAUUCUCUGGGGCUGGCUGUGCCUUUUUUUGUAACCCAGAUUCCUGUGGCUUGCACUGGGUCAUUACUUCGGGCUAUCUGAUUGCCUGAGAAGAUCUUGCUCUCUGUGUUCCAAUGUGUUCCAAGUGAACCCUCUUGGGCUUGGAAAAGGCACUGUCUAGAAUGUGUGACUAAUGGGCUGUUGAAGGUGUUAGACGUAGCCCAAGAACCCAGUGAAUCAGCGGCUGACUGUUGUCUUCAGUGGUUAACGCCAUCCCCCCCACCAAAGAUAAGAUUCCCCUGAACAAAUAAGUUUGAAUGAAGCAGGACUGAUGGCAGAGCUGGAAAUCAAAUGAGAAUAAAAUUACUACUAUUCUUCAAGGGAUUUCUUUCUUUCUUUCUUUCUUUCUUUCUUUCUUUCUUUCUUUCUUUCUUUCUUUCUUUCUUUCUUUCUUCCUUUCUUUCUUCUGUACUCUCAGCACAUAGAAGUUCCAGGCCAGGGAUUGAAUCUGAGCCGCAGCUGUAAGCUACACCUCAACUGCAGCAACUUGGGAUCCUUUAACCCAUUGCUCCUGGCCCAGAAUCAAACCUUCUCUGCUUCAGGUCUCUGAAGCAACCUGAGCUGCUGCAGUCAGAUUCUUAACCCACUGUGCCAUGGCAGCAAAUCCUUUAUUUUUAUUUUUACUUAAGAAAAAAAAGUUUUUUUUAAUCAAGGGAUUGUUUUUUUUCUUAUGGCUUAACAGGGGUCAGACUUCUCAAGGAAGAGGAUGAAUAUUAUCCUUCAAGGAAAGAUCUCAGAAAUUUAUUUUACCCUUUUGAAAUUUGGUGGCUUAUGUACAUUAGAAACGUAUAACUGGGAGGCAGCUGUUAUGUUUAAUUGUAUUAGAAGAAAGUAGUGGGGUUGAAAGAGAAGAAUCCAGAAGAGAUCGUUACCUUUUAAAAUCUUUAUCAAGAUUAUGUUAUAGCCUCUGACUAAAUAAAAAAUAACUCACACUUUUCAUCUAAGGAUGCUAAUGGAAUAAAUGCUGUGGUGAUACUGUUUUCCUUCCAGUCCUCGCUCCAGCUGAGCCCUGAGGGAGUCGUGGACAGGGAAGUGUGCAUCCUCUCAUCUGGAGGCUGAAUUCUUUUAGCAGAGCCAACAUGGGUCCCAAGAACAUCAUAGGGCUUAGCUUGGACUCGUGUCUCUGGCUGUCCAGGUGGAGACCUCCAUUUUUUUUUUUUUCUUUCUUUUUUUCUUUUUAAGGCCACACCUGUGACAUAUGAAAGUUCCCAGUCUAGAGAUCGAAUCAGAGCUGCCUAUGAUGGAACCAGCCUAUGACGCCACAGCCACAGCAAUGCAGGACUGAGCCUCAUUUUUUUUUUUUUUUUUUUUUUUUUUNNNNNNNNNNNNNNNNNNNNNNNNNNNNNNNNNNNNNNNNNNNNNNNNNNNNNNNNNNNNGUAGCUGCCAGCCUACGCCAGAGCCACAGCAACGCGGGAUCCGAGCCAUGUCUGCAACCUACACCACAGCUCACAGCAACGCUGGAUCGUUAACCCACUGAGCAAGGGCAGGGACCGAACCCGCAACCUCAUGGUUCCUAGUCGGAUUCGUUAACCACUGCGCCACGACGGGAACUCCUGAGCCUCAUCUUCUACCUACGCUGUGGCAACACUGGAUCUGGAUCCUUAACCCACUGAGCGAGGCCCGGGAUUGAACCUGCAUCCUCAGGGACACUGUGUUGGGUUCUUAACCCACAGGCUGAGCCACAACAGGAGCUCCUCCAUGUAUUUUCACUAUGGUGAUGGGAUGAAUGGUCCCCAUCGCUUAGCCUCGGCAUAAUUGCAACCUUAGCCUCGGCAUAAUUGCAACCUCUGGGUAACUUAAGAGACAGUCCUGACAAUAGAAUGCCAUCCUUUUCCAUUUAGAGUCUGGCACCCCUUUGCUGCAUGUGCUUUUUGUCUUGCACGCGUGCUCUCUGCAAAACUUCCUCCAGCCAAAGAUUGAUGUGCCUGGAUGAUUGAUGGUGGUGAUUGUCGGGGACUUUUGAAGCCCAUCCAAUUUCAGGAUUUGGCUUCUCAUUUCUUGUCAUUUAUGGCACAUUUGAUGAAUUCUCGCUAUCAGCUGACAUGUUUCAUAAUUGUCAAAACUUUGAUUGAAGCGGUAUUUCUGAGGAAAACAACAAUGGAAGAGAAAAAAGACCAAAAGCUCCUUAACUAUGCUUUUUUUUAAAAAAAUUUUUUUCCCUGUGCGCAAAACUGCUCUGCUUCAGGUUCACAUGAUUUAGCCACUCAGCGACUUGCUGACCUUGCAAACCCGUCGCCUCACUCUCCUUUUACAGUCUUAGGCUUGCAUUUACCCUGCCUCAUAUUUUGCUUGUUUGUGCCUUUUCUAGUCCAGAUGGUAAAAGUGGUUGAACGUUGCCCUUUGGAGAAAGUUUUUAAGCUUUUCCUCCAGACAUCUUUCAAGGCGCAUCUGAGUGAGGCUUGCGUUGAGAGUAUCAAGCUCUUUCCCGGUUAUCUUAAACCUGGUGUUGGUUGAUUUGGGUUUUGUUUUUACGCCACAAGCCGACGUUCUUUGGCUGGAAUGCCGGCUCUCUAGGUCUUUGGCUGCCUUCACCACCUAGAAAUCUGCUCUGUACUUUGGAGUUGUCAUAGUCAAGGCAGCAAACAUCAGUUGGGAGUGGGUCUAGUCCCUUCGUAUGUAGAAUUGAUUGUGUUGUUGUUGUUGUUUAACCUUAUUUUCUAUUUUAAUUUCUAAAUGUUACUGUAGCCCACCUCAGUCCUGUGCAUCUUUCUAUUUCAGCAAAAAAAAAAAAAAAAAAAAAAAAAAAAAA